rnacentral:tRNA from 1 species
AAUCGUAUGGCGCAAUGGUAGCGCGUUCGUUUUUGUAGCGGAAAAUCCUGGGUUCGAUUCCCGGUGCAACCU